AGCUUAAAGUUUUAUUUUAGGUGAAGCCUGCCCAGUGCUAAUAAAGUAAACGGCCGCAGUACCUUGACUGUGCUAAGGUAGCAUAAUCAGUUGGCUUUUAAAUGGAGUCGGGAAUGAAUGGAUUAAUGUGGUAAAGCUGUCUCUAUUAUAUUUACUUGAACUUACUUAAUAGGUGAAAAUGCCUAUAUUAAGAAAAAAGACGAGAAGACCCUAGGAGUUUUUAUGAAAAGAUUAGAUGUUUAAUCUUAAAUUUUUGUUGGGGCGACAAAGGAACCUAUUUCAACUUCCUAUAACUAUCUGCCGACUUAUAGUAUGAAAAUUUAAACUACCCUAGGGAUAACAGCGUAAUUCUUUUUGAGUUUGCGACCUCGAUGUUGGACUAGGAAUUAUUUAGGCUAGCCGCCUAUUUUUAUUGUUCUGUUCGAACUGUCUUUCCU
rnacentral:rRNA from 1 species